rnacentral:other from 1 species
UAAUUCCUGCGAUAUUAGUGAUAUUAUUUUGUUUUCAGAACUAAGAAAUAAUCGGGAGUAGAACGGUUUGUGGCACACCAGCCGAAUGCGAUUCGGACUUGUAAAAUAGAUUGGUGAAACACCCACUUUGAAGGUGGUUUCCGAAAACAAUAAUACACGGUAUCGCGGGUUAUAA